ACUGCCUACGGGGCGCAGCAGUGAGGAAUAUUGGUCAAUGGGCUAAGGCCUGAACCAGCCAAGUCGCGUGAGGGAAGACGGUCCUAUGGAUUGUAAACCUCUUUUGUCGGGGAGCAACGAGGCCACGUGUGGCCGAAGUGAGAGUACCCGAAGAAAAAGCAUCGGCUAACUCCGUGCCAGCAGCCGCGGUAAUACGGAGGAUGCGAGCGUUAUCCGGAUUUAUUGGGUUUAAAGGGUGCGUAGGCGGAAGGUUAAGUCAGCGGUCAAAUGUCGGUGCUCAACACCGGCCUGCCGUUGAAACUGGU
rnacentral:rRNA from 1 species